rnacentral:rRNA from 1 species
UACGGGGGGGGCAAGCGUUGUUCGGAAUUACUGGGCGUAAAGGGCUCGUAGGGGGCCAACUAAGUCAGACGUGAAAUCCCUCGGCUUAACCGGGGAACUGCGUCUGAUACUGGAUGGCUGGAGUUUGGGAGAGGGAUGCGGAAUUCCAGGUGUAGCGGUGAAAUGCGUAGAUAUCUGGAGGAACACCUGCGGUGUAGACGGCUUUCUGGACCAUUGUUGACGCUGAGACACGAAAGCGUGGGUAGCAAACAGG